GGAAAAGCAAGGAAAAGGCAUGCUGUGCAUAGCCAGCGCAUUGCACCUGCACCGGUCUUCCCCUGCACAAAGGAGGAGCAGCUCAGCGAGCUUCGCCUGGGCCAUGGAAGGGAACAUCCACACGUCCGGAGCAACCCCAAACGAGUUAGCUGUGGAGGCUGGUUGUUUUCUGCUGUUUGUCUCAUCCUUCUGGAAAGAAGCAGGAGGAGACAGAGCUCAGAUUUGAUCCCGCUGUGCGUGAUGGUUAAUGCCAAGGGACAGAAGUGUGUGCUUAGGCAGGGGAGAAGCUAGGAAAGCUGAGCAUCGUAGAGGAACGAGAUUAAAACAGAGCUCAUUCUACACAGCAGUUCAGCACGUUGCAGGGAUUUAUCUUCCCUUCUACCAGUGUAGAAGCUACCAACACUACCAGCGUGUGUUGGGCUUGGUUGCUUGCAGAAGGAACAAGGUUACGUGUUGGUUUUACAGAGAACAGCCAUUAUGAUUUCUUGAUAGAUUUAAUCGAUAAUAGCAGAGGAGUGGCAAGAAAGGGCCCCGCCAAUGCCAGUAAGUUCCUACCCAGACCUAUGUGACAGACUGACAUGUGGAAAUCAGACCCUAUAGCCAGUAAGGAUAUGGAGCAGCUAUGUGUUUAUUGGUGACGCGCGUACACCCUGGUGCAAGGGGGAUCGUUCCACCUAACUUGCACCCCAUCAGGAGAAAUGGUGCUAUAGUUAUAGGUCAAACUAAUACAUAAUCAGUAGGUGACAGGAAUUCAGAUACAUCUUCAUUACAUUCCCGAGAGCCCAUUAGCAUGCAGUCCCUCCCCCCCUUGCGCGGGCGUAGUAGGUCGUGAUGAUGAAGGCUUGCAGUCUUCCUCACAAAGGCUCGUAGUCUUCCUCGCUGCAAACUUCUGACCCUGAAGGGGGGGCAUCCCCCAAACCAGUUUCAACUUGCCCUGUAGACAUCUAAUCACCUCCCUGCCAAAUGUUUUUUCGAGCUGCUCUCCAGCCCUUAUCUAUAUGGCCUUCAUCCUCCUUGCUAUUCCAGACCCAGUGUCUGUGAAAGUGCUUGGAACCCCUUGUUUUCUAACACUCUCUACCUAAACUAUCUCUAUUUGCCCCUUGUUUCUACUUUGUGAAGCUGCUUUCCCCUUUC
rnacentral:lncRNA from 1 species